rnacentral:rRNA from 1 species
UACAGAGGUCUCAAGCGUUGUUCGGAUUCAUUGGGCGUAAAGGGUGUGUAGGUGGCGCCGUAAGUCGGGUGUGAAAUUUUAGAGCUUAACUCUGAAACUGCAUUCGAUACUGCGGUGCUUGAGGACUGGAGAGGAGACUUGAAUUUACGGUGUAGCAGUGAAAUGCGUAGAUAUCGUAAGGAAGACCAGUGGCGAAGGCGGGUCUCUGGACAGUUCCUGACACUGAGACACGAAGGCCAGGGGAGCAAACGGG